rnacentral:rRNA from 1 species
UUUCCGUAGGUGAACCUGCGGAAGGAUCAUUACCGAAAGCGGGUUCGUUCAAUCCCCCCCGCUCUAUAAAUUGUCUGUGAGGCCGCUUCGGCGGCCUCUUCCACCCCGAGAAAGAAUUCGUUAUGCGAAGUUGGGCGAGGGGCGCCUCGCCGAGAGUGUAAUAUAGCUCUCGAAUCAAAGCGCACCCCACACUUCAACCCCCACUAAACUCUGAAUCUGAACUCAAAGGGGUGCCUGCGGCUCUGUCCGCGGCUCCCCCAACCUUUUAACGUUGUAAAACUUUCAGCGACGGAUGUCUUGGCUCCCACAACGAUGAAGAACGCAGCGAAAUGCGAUACGUCUUGCGACUUGCAGAAUCCAGUGAAUCAUCAAAACUUUGAACGCACCUUGCGCUUCCGGGAUACUCCUGGGAGCAUGCUUGUCGGAGUGUCUGUUGACACCACUCGCCCCUCCUCUCCUCCGGUCCUUCGGGCUGGCGGGGGUCGCGGCGGCGGACUUUGAGUGUUCCGGAGUUCCCACGCUCCGAGUGCACCUAAUCUCGUGAACGAAGCCUCUCGCGCCCUGCCGCACAGAGUUGUUGACGGCGCUCGCUUCGGCGGCGACUCUCGACUCACGAAACGUGCGCAGGCCCGCCUGCCUCAUUCCGGCGCUCCGACGCCGACCCGGUCAAACAGGUCAAGCGUCCGGAAACCGUACCACUUUCGUUCGGACCUCCGAUCAAGCAAGAGGACCCGCUGAAUUUAAG